UGCCACAUAGAGGAGCUUGGUCUUUAUCCAGAGAGCAGUGGAGACUUCACAGCAUAGUAUUUUAAGGGGACAAGACUAAGGUUUUAUUUUGAAAUAUGGCAGGUGACAUAGAGUGACAGUGGUGCUCCAUAUUCCUGAAGGCACCUGGAAAUAUUGUGGGCUGUGCCCUGAGCUGACAUCAGGCGGGUUCUACCUUCCUGAUUGGCCUCUUUUGGUGCUUGAAGAGCCCACUGAAACAACAGACUGAGCAAAGACUUACAAAUGCUGUGCCUGGAAUCUACUUGAAAGAACGCUAAGUUCAAAGUGGUCAUUUUGCAGAUGAGAAAACUGAGGCCCAGGACCAUGAAGCAUUAACAGAGGAUUGAGACUAAGGCUCUGUCCCCUGAUUUCCAUUCCAGUGGUCUCUUUCCAGUACACAGGCUGUGCCAUAGUUUUUACAGGCAUCUGCAAUUUUGCUGGUAGAGUUACUUCUAUGGAAUCUUCUGGUAGAAUCUCUUUAAGUGGCCCUUGGAGUGUAGGCAUUAUGGGCAGUCUGCAGUGACUGAGCACUCCAAAGCAGUUUAAACAGGCAUGGCAGCAAAUCCCAAUAACAUUGGGCAGAUGCUUUAGACAUUUAAAGAUCUGCAGAUACUGCAGAAUCCCUCAGUUGUGUGGUCAGCACACAACAACUCACAUAAUUGUAAAAUUUUUCUGCAAUAAAAAUUAUUUUUAUAAUUAAAAAACAUACUAAGUGUUAUAAAA